rnacentral:tRNA from 1 species
GGGUCGAUGGCAGAGCGGUUGAAUGCACCGGUCUUGAAAACCGGCGAGGGUAAGACCUCCCUGAGUUCGAAUCUCAGUCGGCCCGCCA